UGGGGAAUAUUGCACAAUGGGCGCAAGCCUGAUGCAGCCAUGCCGCGUGUAUGAAGAAGGCCUUCGGGUUGUAAAGUACUUUCAGCGGGGAGGAAGGGAGUAAAGUUAAUACCUUUGCUCAUUGACGUUACCCGCAGAAGAAGCACCGGCUAACUCCGUGCCAGCAGCCGCGGUAAUACGGAGGGUGCAAGCGUUAAUCGGAAUUACUGGGCGUAAAGCGCACGCAGGCGGUUUGUUAAGUCAGAUGUGAAAUCCCCGGGCUCAACCUGGGAACUGCAUCUGAUACUGGCAAGCUUGAGUCUCGUAGAGGGGGGUAGAAUUCCAGGUGUAGCGGUGAAAUGCGUGGAGAUCUGGAGGAAUACCGGUGGCGAAGGCGGCCCCCUGGACGAAGACUGACGCUCAGGUGCGAAAGCGUGGGGAGCAAACAGG
rnacentral:rRNA from 1 species